GCGGGCAAAAUAUCAGUCAUGAAAAUUACUGUUGUAAAUUUCAGGGCAAGCAAGCCUAAGCUGAAGCAUCCAUGAUAUGGAAAUAGCCACUGGUCUCAUAUAAAUUAGCAAGUUACAGUUAAAUUUACAACAUCAAGAGCAGGAAACUUCCACAGUGAGUUACAGUAAUCAAGUUUCAUUGGCAUGUCCAUGAAACCAUGGCAGUCCUUGUUGAAGGCAUUGUUUUGCAUCGCGUUGUGGAACAAUGGGUCCAAGAAAGAUCCUCCACAAGUCAAGUAUUAUUGUUACCAACAUUGCAGCACCCAGAGCAUCGAAGCACCGCCAGCCACUCUUGGUAAGUCCCACAGGUCACCAGGUUUCUCAUCGAUCCUCAGAAACAUUGGGAAGCUUACAAUGAAGUAGAUGGC
rnacentral:misc_RNA from 1 species